ACCCUCCAGCCUCCUUGCCCAUCAGAUCUACACAGAGGUCUGAGUGGCUAUACGUGGAGGAAAAGUGAAACCGAAGUGGACUUGUAUUCGUGACAUACAUGUUGGUUUCAAACAAAC
rnacentral:snoRNA from 1 species